AGCCUUAUUUAAUUAAUCCACGCAAUGAUUUUACAUCUCGUGAUACCGUAAGGGUUAUCACAGUAGAUAGGUACUGCCCUAUCUUUUCAUACCAAGCUGGUAGUAUUGCAAUUUGGAACAAGUGUGCAUCUGGAAAGUCUUCGUUCACUCCCUCGGCUGGUUCCCCUGAUCUGAUCCUUGAUAGUUGAUUGGCUAUUACAUGGGACUUUCCUGGCCGUACGAUAAUGGUGAAGGUGAAUUCCUGUAGUAGAAGCCACCGACUUACCCUACCCUGGAUGAUUGGUUUAUUCACCAAGUACAUUAUUGCUUGAUGGUCCACAUAAAAUGUGAAUGGUGUAGCCAACAAGUAGUGCCGGAACUUCUGUACUACGUACACCAUCCCUAGUGCCUCUCGCUUCGUUGUGCUGUAGUUCCGUUCGGCCCUUGACACGAGUCGGAUUGCGAAAAAGACGGAAUGGUCCAAUCCUUGUGCCCCUACCUGCGCGAGGGUAGCACCAAUUGCAAAGUUGGAGGCAUCGACGUGUACAUGAAAUUCUUUGUUCCAGUCCGAGUAUACCAAUAUCGGUGCACUCACCAGCCGGUCUUUCAAUUCUUUGAAGACUUCUUCCUGCUCCAUACCCCACACGAACGACUCUCCCUUGUCAACUUACCUAAGGGCCAGGACACUUGCGCAAAGCCUUUGAUGAAUCUCCGGUAGUAGCCGACAUGGCCGAGGAAUGAUUUCACCCCUGUCACGUUUGUUGGGCUCUCCAUGUUGACAAUUACUCCUAUCUUGUCCGGGUUUGUCUUCAGACCUUCCUUACAAACGAUGUGGCCCAGGAGUUUCCCUUGUGGUACCAUAAACCUGCAAUUCCUUGGGUUCAGGGUUAACCUAGCCUUCCAACAUCUUUCCAUGCACUCCCCCAGAGCCUUCAAAUGGGUGUCUUGAUCGCUAAAAAUCGAUUAGUCAUCGAGGAAUGCCCUGAAGUUCCCUACGGACAUCUUGUCAAAAAUGUGCAAAAUUAUUCUCUGGAAGGUUGCAGGCGCAUUGCAUAGUCCGAAGGGCAUGCGAUUAUAGGCAUUCACCCCUUCCUCCACCAUGAAUGUGGUCUUUAGCUUGUCUUCUUCUGCAAUACUUAUCUGGUUGUACUCGGAGAAUCCAUCUAGGAAUGUGUAUAUCUCAUGCCUGACGACUUCUUCGAGGAUGCUGUCAGUGAAUGGGAUUGGGAAUGGGUCUUUGAUGGUUACUGCAUUGAGGUACCUGAAAUCUACGCAUAUCCUUAUCUGAUUAGCUUCCUUCUUAAGGGAGAUGACUAUUGGGGAAACCCAGUCACUAGUUUCCACUUCGAAUAUGAUCCUUUCUUCUAGCAUUUUAUUGAUCUCCUCAUUUACUUUGGCUAUGUAGUUUCUGUUCAUCUUGUACGACCUGCUUCAUACCGGUUGGGCUCCUGGUACGAGGGUUAUGCGAUGUACGCAUAGCUCCGGCGGUACCCCCUUCAAGUCCUUGUAAGUCCAGGCAAAGACGUCUUUAUAUUCCAGGAAUAUCUUGAAGGCUACUGCCUUCAGCACGGGGUUCUAGUCAUCCCCUACAAGUAUCAUCUGUGCCUUCUCCACACCUCUUUCCUCGUACUUGAUGGGUUUAUCUCGUUCAAACUGGUGGGCUGACGUGUCGAAUGGCGUCCAUUCGUGCCAUUCCCUCUUAGUAUCUACUGUACUCCAGGGGAAAGGAUUGUUCUUCCAUCCCGCCACUUGAUUCUCCUAUCUCGCAUAUUUGGAGCAUGUGACACUCCGGGUGGAAGACCUCAUACAUAAUCCUCCAUUUGCCAAUGAAAAAGUCUGGCCAAUGAACUAGUUCCAUCCUCAAAACAUCCGUCCAGUUCCAACACUCCUUCCUCGUCGGGCUCUUUCCCUCUUCUGUCUCCUUCAGAACCCCACUCCCAUCUAUUUGAAUCUUCUAAGUUGGAAUCGGAUGACGCGAGCUCUUCACUAAUGGACUGGUUCCUUAGAUCGAUUACAUACUUAUGACUGUCACUCUCGAUUGAGAGCAUAUUCUUUUUCCAGUUAUGAUUAGCUCUGGCCAUGAUCAACCACCCCUUUCCCAGGAGGGCAUCGUAUGCUUUUCUUUCCAGUGGGAUGACUAUGAAAUCUAGAAGAAAUUGCUGCAUCCCGAUUACCACCAUUUGUGCCAUGAGGGUAUCGAGGGGUUUGAUAUUGUGUUGAUCCGCACCGACCAAGUGGAAGGUUGGUGGCUAGAGUGUAGGGUUGCUGAGGCUUCAUCAAGUUUCCUCCGGUAGUACAUUGACUCCGGACCCACCAUCCACAAUGGUGUUUGUGAGCUUUUGUCCCGUUAUAGCCAUCUCUACUACUGCCGGUUUCCGUCCAACCCCUAUCGUGAGUAGCAUAGGGUUCAUGGCAUCCGUACCAGGUCCCUUCACCGGGUCCGUACUACAUGGUUCCAUCAUCGUUUGGUGUUCCUGAUCGAGGGUAGUGUCGUCGGUUACAUUUGUCAGAGCGAUCCUCAACUGUGGCAUGGUCUGUAGAAGGUCGGACAUCCGUACGGGUAUUGUGGUUUGCAACAUCUGCUUAAUGAUAAUUUUCUCUGGUCCUGACCGGAGUGGUGUACUGGCAGCCAGAUGCAAGGCCCUCCGCUCUUCUACCAUCACCCGCUCGAUAUCCGCCCUUGCUUCCUGAAGCCUUUCCUUUUCUGUGCGAGGGUCAAGAUACAUGGCUUUCUUGUUUUGCACUCUUGUGAUUGCCAAAACGUCCUCUCCUGAUCCUUCCACAUCCAACAUAUUCACCCCUUUUUGCUUUGGGCAAUCUAUGUCCUCGUGAUUUCCUGGGCCACACAAUCUGCACAACAAACUUCCUACCUCACCCCCGUUUUGGCAUUCCUGGGCAAAGUGACCCCAUUCGUUGCACUUCCUGCAUUGAAUCAUGGGUCGCCCUUUCGCGUCGUAUUGAAUUCUACCCCUUGGUGUGUUAUUAUUGGAUCUAUUGUUACCUCACCGAUUGUUUCUGUACCCUCCAGGGGAGGCGUUAGAUUUUGUUGUUGGCUUCGGAGGUGUCGCCGGCGGUGUGGCUUGGUUGGGUUGGGCGUAGAGCACUUGUGUGCUCCAUGCUUUCAAGUUGUACGGGCAUUCCUUAGUGGAAUGUCCCAUUACCUGGCAGAUGUCAUAGAAAACUUUGCGAGGACAACUUCCUUUAUUGUGUCCUUUAGUCUUGCAGUCAGUGCACCAUAGUUCUUUUCCUUCCCUGCCACUUUCCUUGUCCCCCUUUAAUUCCUUCAUCAUCCUCAUCAUAUCCUUCCGGAGUGCUUGUACGGUUUUGGACCCCCCAUCGCCCCCCCAUCGCUGUCUUCAUCCGUACUGUCACCGUCGCUCACCUGUCGCUUCCCUCGGGAUGUCUUGUUUUCAUUUUCAAUAUCCAUCGCGUGGUUGUAUGCUUCAUCGUACGAUGGCGGAGGGACCACUUUCAUCGUCCUUUUCAGGGAUGGUACCAAUCCCUCUACAAACCAUCGCUUCUUGAGGCCAUCCGUCGGCUGGUUCUCCAUUUUGUUAAGUAGUUCCCUGAGCCUUCUGUUAUAUGCACGUACACUUUCAUUUUUUCCUUUUUUGGUGUUGUAAAUCUCUGCCACAAUCUCGUUGUCAUCUCGUAGGAGUUUGAACUCUUCCUCGAAGGCCUUCUUCAGAUUUCUCCAGGACGUUUUAUGCUGGGCAUCGAGGUCCGUAUACUAGUCAAUGGCUAUUCCUCGCAGAGUGGCUGGGAAUGCCUUCAACCAGUAGUCCUGGUUGUCCUGGCCAUUUGCUUCCCAGAUGGUCACGCAUGUCUUGCAAUGUCGUAUGGUGUCCUUUGACCCGUUGCCCAUGAAUUUUGGGAGUUUUUGCUUCUUCGGGGUGUGUGUCAUUGUUCUUUUCUGGAUGGUUUUAUGCAGUGCUUGGAAAUGGCUACAUGCCGGGAAGGUAUUAUGUGUCCGGGAGGUACCGUAUGCUCUUGGUCUGGUUGGGCCCCUAUCAGCCGGGCUUUGGUCACCUUCACUUCUAUAGUCCCUCCUUCCUGGGGUUUCUGGAUCUGACCCUCCUAUUUUGAUGCCCUCUAACAAGGACAAAUUUUUUAUGCCAGAUAACCUUGCUUCAAAAAUAGUGGUGAUUUCCUCGUGCAGGUCUCGUAUCGCCUCCUCUCCUUGUUCAGAAUAUUCCGACAGGGUGCUUUGCGACUCGGCUUCGGAGUCCUCUUCACUUGACGUCAAGUGUGGGGCCUGGUCGGCGAGAUCUUCCUUCGCUACGUCUGGAAGUGGCAAGUUCCUAGCGACCUCGGCCAACUCCUUCCACGUACACGGUUUUUGUCUCUCCCGACUACAAAUCUGACUCACACUUCGACUUCUGCUGUGUUUCUCCGGACUCUUUGAGUCGGCAAUCUCCCUUAGCCGCCACCUCCUUUCGGCCUGUUCUUUUAUGCAGAGAGAUCUCCGUAUAGUUCCCUCGUUUACUCCUUCGGUGGUAGUGGUACGUUUGUCUUUGUUUGGUCGUAGGGGCAUCAAGUGCCAGAGGUACAGUGCCGACUAGCUUCCCUCUCCUCUUCCUCCCUACGACUCCGCUCCUCGUACCGUCGGAGGACUAGUUGCCGCCAAAUUUCCUUUGUCGUCUCCUCCCUUCGGUCUCGGAGUGCAAUUAGAUUUCUGGCGAGUAACCUUGGAAUACUUCCGAGCAGGUGAAAGAUGGGGGUGCUGACGGUGAGUUCACCACGUACCGUGCCUUCCGAGACGGCUCUCUCCUGAGCCUCUCGUUGCACGUACUGCGUGACCGACACAUCCCACAACUCCACCAAAUCUGCCGUCAACUGAUCCUCUCGUUCCUCUUCCGCAGUACUCUCUUCGUGCGUGUCGCUGUCCACGACAAUUAAUUGCUGGUUAAAUGGCCGGCCCAUUAAUUCCUUCCAUCUGCUGCCAUAGUUAUCUCCAGGUUCGUUCAAGCAACGGCGCCAAAAUGUUUAGUCCUUGAUGUAAGGUUGGUAAAACUCAUAGGUAACACAAUGUUUUCCACACGUACCAAUUAUUCAUGUACCAGUACAUUCAUAUGCCACAGCAUAAGUGACAAUGAUACUAGUUAGACCAGAAGAGUUAUAUCUUUAUUCAAGUGUCCAGAAUGUCCAUACAUAAUCUCCCCUGCCAAGGUUCCAACCAAACAAUAUAAGGACCCGACGAUUGGUCAAGUUGCCAACCGUCACCAACUCCCAACUACUCGACAGGAACCUCUCGGCGACAAACAUAAACAUAAACACAACAUAACACACUUGUAACUAUUAUUCUUACUAACACACGUUAUUUACCCCUAACAACGAUCCAGGAACUCCUUGACAAAGGAUGGAUUAGGCCCAACUCUAGUCCCUUCGCGUCGUCAGUAGUGCUAGUAAAGAAGAAGGAUAGAUCCAUCUGGAUGUGCAUGGAUUACCGUUCAUUAAACAAAAAGACUAUCAAGAAUAGAUACCCCAUCCCCAGGAUCGAUGAGCUACUGGACAAACUACAUGGUGCAGUCUAUUUCUCCAAAUUGAUCUCCACUCCGGCUACCACCAGAUCCGCAUGAGGGAGCAAGAUGUGGAGAAGACACCCUUCCAUUGCCAUUAUGGACACUAUGAGUUCUUGGUCAUGCCAUUUGGAUUAACCAAUGCUCCAGCCACUUUCCAGUCGUGCAUGAAUCACAUCUUCAACAAGUAGUUGCGCAAGUUCCUGUUGGUGUUCUUUGACGACAUACUCGUCUACAUCAAAACGUGAGAGGAACAUCUGAGGCAUUUGGACGAAGUUUUGGGAAUCAUGGAGUCACAAUCGUUGUCUACCAAGAGGUCCAAAUGCGAAUUUGGAAUGAUGGAGAUAUUGUACCUGGGACACAUCAUCAGUGCCCAUGGGGUUCAAGUACAUCAAGAAAAAAUUCAAGCCAUUCUGGAUUGGCCGCCUCCCAAGACUCUCUCAGAGCUGCGUGGAUUUCUUGGGUUGUGCAGUUAUUAUAGAAGGUUCGUGAAGGGAUUUUCACAGAUUGGUGCACCCCUAACAGAUCUGACGAAGAGAGGAUCCUUCCACUGGGAUGUGCAGGCCCAACACACUUUCGACAAAUUGAAAGAAGUUAUGAGUACGUGUCCGGUUUUGGCACUACCAGACUUCACUUGGCCUUUCAUCUUGGAGUGCGAUGCCUCGAGUGAAGGCAUUGGAGCGGUGUUGAUGCAAGACCGUCACCCCAUCGCGUUUGAGAGCUGGAAGCUCUCGGGAGUAGAGCGGUUGUACUCUAUCUACGACAAGGAGAUGCUCGCCAUCAUGCACGCACUGACGAAGUUUCGACAGUACCUCAUCGGAGCAAGGUUUUUUCGUAUGGAUAGACCACAACAGUCUGCGAUAUUUCUUGGAGUAGAGGGAUCUGAACGAACGGCAAUAGAAGUGGGUGAGCAAAAUCCAGGCAUUUGAUUUUGACAUUGAGUAUGUGAAAGGCAAGAAUAAUGUGGUGGCCGAUGCUCUGUCGAGAAGGCCUGCCAAAUGUUCUCUAUCCUAGAUUUCAGCGGAUUGGAAGGAAGAUCUAUUGGUGGAAUAUUCCAAGAAUACAUUCGCGUGGGAGCUGAUGGAUUGUCGAGUGCAGGAUGACAGAUACAAGGUGGUUGACGACAUCAUUUACUACAAGGACAUAAUUUAUUUGGUGCUCGAGUCCAAGAUGAAGGAAUUUUUUUAAAAAGAAAUGCAUGACUCACCCUUGGCCGGACACCCAGGAUACUUGAAGACCUACAGAGAUCCAGGAAAGGUUCUCUUGGAAGGGCUUUAAGAAUGACGUCCAGCAGUACGUGCGAGAAUGUUCCACCUGCCAGCAGAACAAAUUUGAUCACUCCUUACUUGUCGGACUACUUCAGCUGUUGCCAAUUCCCGACCAGAAGUGGGAUAGCAUCUCAAUGGAUUUCAUUAUUGGGCUUCUCAAGGUGCAAGGGAAGGAUUGCAUCUUCGUCGUGGUAGAUUGUUUGACCAACUAUGCCCAUUUCUUUGCCAUCUCCACUAGAUACUAGGCAUCUCAAGUGGCCAAGUUGUUCUUCCGAGAGCUAUUCCACUUGCAUGGUCUUCUGCAGAACAUAGUGAGUGACAGGGAUAGCCGCUUCCUGAGCACCUUUUGGAUGGAGUUAUUUCGGUUGGCAGGAGCCGAGUUGUCGCUAAGCACAAGCUACCAUCCAUAGACGAAUGGACAUACAGAGACCUUGAACAAAUGGUUGGAGGGUUAUCUUAGGAACUAUGUCUCAGCACAACAGAAGGCAUGCGUCCGUUGGUUACAUUUGGGUGAACACUGCUACAACACCACCUACCACAUGUCGAUAGGUAUGGCGCCUUUCAAAGCACUGUAUGGUUAUGAACCUUAGUCUUUCGUGGAUCUGGCAUUGGGUGAUAGUCGCGCACCAAGGGCCAAGGAUUGGUUACAGGAGAGUUUGGACAUCCUAAGAUCUCUCAAGGAUAACCUGCAGAGGGCUCAAAACUAGCAGAAGAUGUAUGCGGAUCGACAUCAGAUUGAGCGGAGUUUUGAGGUUGGUGAUCUGGUAUACCUCCGACUUCAAUUGUACAGACAAUCCUCCCUGAGGAUAUGUGGUAAGGAGAAGUUGAAGCCGCGUUUCUAUGGACCCUAUAGAGUGGUUCGGAGAGUGGGUGAAGUCGCCUACAAAUUGGAACUUCGUGAGGGGAGUCAGAUUCACAAUGUUUUUCAUGUGUCAUGCCUCAAAAAGGCCGUUGAGCAGUGUGUCACAGUGUCGAAGGAUUUGCCACCCAUUGACGAAGAAGGGAAACUAAUUCUGGAGCUGGCUGAGAUCAUCGAAGUCAGGGAAAAGAAGCUGAGGUAGCGCAUAGUCAAGGAGUUCCUUGUGCGAUGGAAGGAUCUGCCGAUCGAGGAUGCCACCUGGGAAGGCAAGUAGAUUUUGGAGCAUCCAAGUCUGCAAUUGCUUGAGGGCAAGCAAUUCUCCGGCAAGGAGGACUGAAAUGUCCCCGACACUAUUAAAUAAUUUAAUAAUUGUGUGUAUGGCCCCGAAAGUUAAAUUUAUUAUAUCUCAGGCCCUUUUUACUUUUGGCAGUAACAUUUUGGCCAUGUCGGCUGUUUUUGUAAUCCUUCGGGAAGUUUCUUCGAAGCCAUAUAAAUGGUCGAGUUAGUCAUUGUCAUAUGUAUGCGAGUUUGGUAUUUUCUUUGUAUGUGCGAAUUCCAGUUGGAGUUGAGUUGUCAGCCAUUUCGGAGGUGGAAGAUCCUCCCUACUUGGCAUCCGCAGUUUCGGUGGGAGUAACUCCUCACCCUACUCUACUCUGCCCUCAGUCCGGGAUUUUUGUAAUCUGAAGUUCUAUCAUUAUUGCAUCUGAAUUUCUCCUUGCAUGUUUGGUGUGUUCAUUCUUGUGCCAAAUCGUGUUAAACUAAUCAUAUUGUCCAACAUAUUAGGGAACCAUCUUUCUGAGGCCAAGAUUAUUAAUUUCGCACAGGAGAGUCAAUUGAUUGAAGGCAGGAGCGUACGGGUGGAGUGCCGUAUAGUGUAGGCUGCAUUGGGCGUACGAAAGGGAGGACCGUACUGUGCCAGUUGUACGGUGUAUUGGUCGUACAGUGGACGGUGUUGGUCGUACGAUACAACUUGAAUUGACCGUACAGUGGAGUGGGUUGUCCGUACGAGGUGGAGGCUGUUGACCGUACGGGGAGGUUGUGAUGCCGUACGUGUACGGUACACUACAGACAACUUUAUUGGCAAAACAUUUUCUUUUUGUGUAUAUCAUGAAAGCCAAUUAGGGAUUCAUGGGUUGAAAUAGGAGUGACCAUUGCUUUUAAUGGAUGGAAAGAUUGCAAAAAUUAGCCUUUGAUUAAUGUCAGUUUAGUGGCCCAAGAGGGGUAAUUUUUUGAAGGCAGUUAAUUGUGAGAAGCAAGUGAAGGAUGCAAACUUUAUUUACAAAAACCUCAUUGAGCCCAUUGAGAUGGUGGGUGCUAAGAAUGUUGUUCAAGUCAUAACAGAAAAUGGUUGGUUGAGGAAAUGCAUAAUCACAUUUUUGUGACGCUAUGUACCAUUUGUUCCCUCAACUUGUUGAUGCUAAAAAUUGGCACUUAGUGGGGAAAGAAAUAUACAUUGAGGAUGAGGAGAUUGAAAUGUUCAUGACAAACCAUCAUGUGUCACAAGGCAUCUUCAAGACCUUCAAUUUGGAGUUGUUGGAGGUUAUUGAGACUUGAUUUGCAUCACACAAUCAAGUUUAAGACUUGUGAAGGUGUGAGAGGCAUUGAGUGCCAUGGUCAUAAGCAACCAAUGGAGUGCAUGGAGGCAUCUUGAAUGAUGGUUGGUUGGCUUAUGUGGGUUACAUCUUGAGUUUCACCGAGUCCAUCAUGAAUCUGAUCAGGUUUGUUGAUAUAGAUCAGUUGUGUUUGGAAGAAAUCUAUGAUGGCAUAGACAGCAUGAUAGAAAAAUUAAGAAUAAUAAUAGCAAAGAAGAAGAAUGACCCUAUAUAAACAUUUUUUUGAAGGGUGGACAAAAUUGUUGUUGAUCAUUGGAACAAGAUGACCACAUGCUUGCAUAUCCUUGCAUUUGCAUUGUCUCCCAAAAAUUAUACCAUGACAAUACUUUCUUUGCAUAGGAGAAUGGCAUCAUAUAGAGAAAGUGGAGUUGUUGAAUGGUACAAGAAAGCAUUUUGAAGAAGAUGUCUAGAUCCAGAAGUGGUGGAUAAUGUUAGAAUUGAGUUAUUCACAUUUUUCCAGAUAAGUAUAAGAUGAACACUUAUUGAUGGUGAUACCUCCAUGGGCAAGGUUCUGUGUUCCUCCAACCUCUUGCAAUCAAAAUUCUGUCAUAGGGUGUGAGUUCUUUGGCUAAGUAGAAUUGGAGCACAUACUCCUUUAUUUAUUUUGUUAAGUGCAACCAAUUGGUUGCAAAUUUGUCUCUUAUCAUUUAAGGAAGUUGACUAUAAGCAAGGGGCCACAAAGAAUAGUGAUAUAACCCUUUAGUCUGUCAACUUGGAUGUAUUUGUUUUAGAGAUUGCUAGAGUCACUUUAGAUGAUGAUGAGCUCCUACACGUGAUGUAGCUAGUGGAGUGGCCCCAUAGUUGUUUGUGAUUCAAAUGAAGUUGCACUAAGCGAUGAUUUAGAUCUAUAGAGCAAGAUGCAUAUUUUGUUAUUGUAAUUUGCAUUUUCUGUUACUAUUCACCAUAUUCAAAUUUGUAAUAAUUUGACACAUA